ACGGACAUAUACCACAUUGAAAACACCGGUUCUCGUCCAAUCACCGAAGUUAAGCAAUGUCAGUCAGUACUUGGGAGGGUGAACACCUGGGAACACCGGGUGCUGUAGGCU